UCCAGGAUUGUUGGUUAAUAAAACUUCCAAGUUUAGUCUGUUGUGUUUUCUCUCUCUGUUUUUUUUUUUUGGCAGUGGCUUCGAUCAUAAAGCACACUCUGCUGCUGAUUUUUGUAGCUUAGUUUAUUGUGGUGUUCUAUUUGUGUUUCUCUUUUAUGAGUUUCUUAGGGCUUGUUGGACUUAGUCUAAAUACAUGGUCAUGCUCUUUAUUUAAUCUCUCAAACUAUUUUAGACUAAUGAAUUGGCACAACCAUUUAUGCUCUUUAUUGCUUCUUUUUUAGUAAGCCUAAUCACAUGUUUGCCUUGCACACAUAUAAUAUGAGUGUCAUCUAGAUUCUAGGCCAUUGGAUCUUAUAUAUAUCUUACAUCAUGCAGUUAUGUUUAUAUGCACACAAGCAUAUAUAGUGCUCUUUAUUACUGUUAUGGUUGGAAUAGUAUGGUACAUAUAUAAAUUUUGUUUAACUUCUCUAUCGUUUCCUUCCUCUCUUUCUCUUUCACACAUAUACAUGAACACAUGGUGGGGCUGUAUCAUUGGGACACCCAUUAGGAUGCAGUGGAGCUCGUAUCUUGGUCACAUUGUUAGGGGUAUUGAGACAUAAAAAGGGAAAGUACGGGGUUGGUGUCAUAUGCAACGGUGGUGGGGGAGCUUCUUCACUUGUUCUUGAGCUCAUUGUUGAAUGUUUUAAACUAAA